GGAAAAACUUGCAGAGCAGGCAAAAUGGAUGGAGGAAGAGCGUAUGUGUCAAAUUCAAGAGGAGAAAGAGGAUAUCUCUUUGUUCAAAAGGUUACCAAGAAAGGUGAUUUGAGUGAAUUCUACUUCAAUCUUGGAAAAAAUGUUGCAUAUGGUGCAAAAGGCAUAGAGUCAAGGAAGCAAGAAAAACAAACUGAACUCAGGAAGCCAGUGAAGUUGGAUGAUUAAGUGUCGGCUGGUACAUAUAAUAGAGUUGAUCCUUUGCAAGGCUCCUCAAAGUCAAUUAUUGAGGCUGAAAGAGGAGCAUCAUUCUUCUGUUCCUCCUCUUAGGAGAAAUUCCGAGUCCUUAGAUCUUAAACCAGUUCCUGAUGACCCAGUUUUGGACACACUGGUACAAGAAAAAUCAUCAUCUGAACGAGGGUCAGCUAAUCAACCAAAGCAAGACCAUCACAAACGAAAUGAGGAUGCAGUAGCUACAAGCUAAAGAACGUUUUUUGACACGGAAGAAGGCAAAGCAGCAACCGUGAAUGUUCUUUCUCUCUGCAUGUAACGUGAUUGAAAUUCCAAACGAAUCAUUAUUAUAUUUGGGUUAAAGCUGGAUGUAAAUUCAGCAAUGAAAGACGGAAUAUUUUUAAAUAAAAAAUAUUAAAAAUUAACAUAAAAUAAAAUUUUUUUU